rnacentral:rRNA from 1 species
UACAGAGGGUGCAAGCGUUGUUCGGAAUUACUGGGCGUAAAGCGUGCGCAGGCGGUUGUGCAAGACCGAUGUGAAAUACCCGGGCUUAACCUGGGAAUGGCAUUGGUGACUGCACGGCUAGAGUGUGUCAGAGGGGGGUAGAAUUCCACGUGUAGCAGUGAAUGCGUAGAGAUGUGGAGGAAUACCGAUGGCGAAGGCAGCCCCCUGGGAUAACACUGACGCUCUGCACGAAAGCGUGGGGAGCAAACAGG